rnacentral:lncRNA from 1 species
UUUUCUUCUCAGCUUCACUCGCAACUACAUUAAGGUAAGAUUUUUCUUUUUUCUUCUUUUUUUGGGUUAUUUUAUUUUAUUUUUAAAUUUUUCUAUUCUUAAUAAUUGUAUGAAUGUUGUUGUAGGAUUUUUUUUCAUAUGUGAUCAAUGUUGUUGUUGUUUUAUUUUUUGUGUUAUUUAUUUGUUGCAAAUUUUUUGAGUUGAUUUUGUUUUUUUUUUUCAAGCAACUCAAUUCUGAGUAUUAUGGAGUGUUGAUUUAUAUUAAUUUAAUUAUUUUCUAGUUUUGUUAAAUAGAUUUUUUUAAAAUAUUUUA